GGGUGCGUAGCUCAGUUGGUUAGAGUAUCGCCUUGACAUGGCGGGGGUCGCAGGUUCGAAUCCUGCCGCACCCA
rnacentral:tRNA from 3 species